CCUACGGGUGGCUGCAGUGGGGAAUAUUGGACAAUGGGGGGAACCCUGAUCCAGCCAUGCCGCGUGUGUGAAGAAGGCCCUCGGGUUGUAAAGCACUUUCAGUGAGGAAGAACGCCUGGUGGUUAAUACCCAUCAGGAAAGACAUCACUCACAGAAGAAGCACCGGCUAACUCCGUGCCAGCAGCCGCGGUAAUACGGAGGGUGCGAGCGUUAAUCGGAAUUACUGGGCGUAAAGCGCGCGUAGGUGGCUUGAUAAGCCGGUUGUGAAAGCCCCGGGCUCAACCUGGGAACGGCAUCCGGAACUGUCAAGCUAGAGUGCAGGAGAGGAAGGUAGAAUUCCCGGUGUAGCGGUGAAAUGCGUAGAGAUCGGGAGGGAUACCAGUGGCGAAGGCGGCCUUCUGGACUGACACUGACACUGAGGUGCGAAAGCGUGGGUAGCAAACAGGAUUAGAUACCCCGGUAGUC
rnacentral:rRNA from 1 species